CACGUAGGGUGCGAGCGUUGUCCGGAAUUAUUGGGCGUAAAGAGCUCGUGGGCGGUGUGUCGCGUCGGCCGUGAAAACCUGCAGCUUAACUGUGGGCUUGCGGUCGAUACGGGCAUCACUGGAGUUCGGCAGGGGAGACUGGAAUUCCUGGUGUAGCGGUGAAAUGCGCAGAUAUCAGGAGGAACACCGGUGGCGAAGGCGGGUCUCUGGGCCGAUACUGACGCUGAGGAGCGAAAGCUAGGGGAGCAAACGGG
rnacentral:rRNA from 1 species